ACUGUCUGGUCACAUAAACCCUGCAUUGAGAAAAGGGCUUAUACUGAAACAGAAUAUUGCACAGAUAUACUGAAUUUUUGAAAGCAAAGCAAAAUUUACUUGUCAUCAGAAAAAUCCUGAAAUCAUGUUCCUGUUUAUUUUAUGGCCUAAUGGUUGGCAGUGAAUUUUAGUAAUGGCUGAGAAAGGAAACAAGACUUGUUUGAGUUGAGACUUGAGAUGAGUUGAUUCUAG
rnacentral:misc_RNA from 1 species